rnacentral:lncRNA from 1 species
GUCCACGGCUUCAUGUUUGAAGUCAGUGAGACCAAGAACCCACAAAUUCCGGACACGCUAUUUUGGAUUAUAACUACACAUUUCACUUGAAAUGUUGGUAGAUUAAUUGUACUUCCAUUUUUAUACGCUUUAAUUUUGAACUGACAAUGUUUACAUUGAUGCAAUGCAAAGGAAAAGAGAAAGCAUCCUUGUCAUAUUAGAGAAAACUUCGAACAGUUAAAAUUUUAUGGAACGUUGGAGGCAGACAUAGACACAAAGAAAAUGUCAAGCGGGAAUAAAGGCAGACAUCAGGGUGAUGCUUCUACAAGCCAAGAACACCAAGAUUUGCCAGCAAACCACCAGAAGCACCAGUGAACUAAUACAGAAACUGGAUGCAGGGCAGCAAAAUAGAUACAAGCUUCAACUUAGUGAAUAAACUUUCAGAAUAAAUCAGCUUUUUAAAUCUUCAUCCAAAAAUGGUGUAAUGGGAUGUGCCAGUUGGCCUCCAGCCAGGAAGUGGAGCUUGCCAAAGAGCACCAGCUAUGUUGGUAACAGUGGAAUUUGUGCCUGCCUUAUUUUACCCAAGGUAGAUAUUCUUGUGUAUCAGGCAAUGGGGGGGCCACGGAGUUCCCAAAUGUACCUGCCCAUCACGUUAGGCUAUCAGGAUGGAUGGAAGGACAAAGCUGGGUGCGGGUGGGUCCGGCAAGUUUGCACUCUGGCUCCCCAUAUACAGGCUCAAGCAGUGGCCCCAGUGGUGAUCAGAAGGCAGUUCCCCGACCACUGGAAUACUGUUCCAGGGAGGAGUGCUGCUGCCUACACUGCACAAAAGACCCAUAUGAGGAGCAGCAAUGGAGCUGGUGGCAGUAAGCCCCACUCAGUUCCCAAGUACUUGGCAAGGCAGGUCUCACACCCACAGUGCUUUGCCGCAACUAGCUGGUUCCAGGGAGCCUGCGCAUAGAACUCAAAACUGCCCCAGGCCAUAAGCCUUCCCAGUGGAGACAAAAACUGUGAGUUUCAGGCCAUGCCCCUCUUGAUCUGCCAGUGAAGUAGAGGUGCUCAGCUCCUGUGCCCAUGGCUAUAGCACACUUCCUGCACGUCCUUCCGUCCUGGCCAAUGAGUUUUGUCCCCAGUCAUGAUUCUGUCUCAAUGCUCAGUUGAUGCUUCUCUCAACCUGUGACUACAUCAUGAGUUGGCUGGCAGAUUUCCGUGAGGUCUCCUGUGAGAAAGGAUUUGGAAUGGCUUCCCUCUGUCCCACUGGAGUUUGAAAGUGCAUGCAAAUCUUAUCCCAAUGCCACUCCUUCUCUUAGAGUCCCCACUGCUCACUAAAUCAGCUCCACUGCUAUA